GUGAGGAAUUUUCCGCAAUGGGCGAAAGCCUGACGGAGCAAUGCCGCGUGAAGGAUGAAGGCCUAUGGGUUGUAAACUUCUUUUCUCAGAAAAGAAUUAUGACGGUAUCUGAGGAAUAAGCAUCGGCUAACUCUGUGCCAGCAGCCGCGGUAAGACAGAGGAUGCAAGCGUUAUCCGGAAUGAUUGGGCGUAAAGCGUCUGUAGGUUGUUUAAAAAGUAUUCUGUCAAAGAUUAGGGCUUAACCCUAGAUAGGCAGAAUAAACUUUUAAGCUAGAGUUUGGUAGAGGCAGAGGGAAUGCCAGGUGGAGCGGUGAAAUGCGUAGAUAUCGGGAGGAACACCAAAGGCGAAGGCACUCUGCUGGGCCAAUACUAACACUGAGAGACGAAAGCGAGGGGAGCAAAUGGGAUUAGAAACCCGUGUAGUCC
rnacentral:rRNA from 1 species